rnacentral:rRNA from 1 species
GGACAACUUACCCAAGAGUCCGGGAUAACCCCGGGAAACUGGGGAUAAUACCGGAUAGAUCAUCUGUGCUGGAAGGCUGGGUGGUUGAAACUUCCGGGGCUUUUGGAUGGGUCUGCGGCUGAUUAGGUUGUUGCCGGUGUAACGUACCGUCAAGCCUGUAAUCAGUACGGGUUGUGGGAGCAAGAGCCCGGAGAUGGAUUCUGAGACACGAAUCCAGGCCCUACGGGGCGCAGCAGGCGCGAAAACUCUACAAUGCAGGCAACUGCGAUAGGGGAACAUCGAGUGAUCCUCAUAUUGGGGGUCUGUCCACCCGUCUAAAAAACGGGUGUUAGCAAGGGCCGGGCAAGACCGGUGCCAGCCGCCGCGGUAAUACCGGCGGCUCGAGUGGUGGCCGAUAUUAUUGAGUCUAAAGGGUCCGUAGCCGGCUUUGCAAGUCUCUCGGGAAAUCCAGCGGCUUAACCGUUGGUCGUCCGGGGGGUACUACAUUGCUUGGGACUGGGAGAGGUAGGAGGUACUCAGGGGGUAGGAGUGAAAUCCUGUAAUCCUUUGGGGACCACCGGUGGCGAAGGCGUCCUACCAGAACAGGUCCGACGGUGAGGGACGAAAGCUAGGGGCACGAACCGGAUUAGAUACCCGGGUAGUCCUAGCCGUAAACGAUGCUCGCUAGGUGUCACAACAAUCGUGAAUUGUUGUGGUGCCGUAGGGAAGCCGUGAAGCGAGCCACUUGGGGAAGUACNGNCGCAAGGUUGAAACUUAA